ACCUGCCCUAUGAUUAAAAAUUAAAUGGCCGCAGUAUUUUGACUGUGCAAAGGUAGCAUAAUCAUUAGUUUUUUGAUUGGGAACUAGAAUGAAAGGUUGAACGAGAAAAUAACUGUCUCAAUUUAAUUUUAAUUAGAAUUUUAUUUUUAAGUAAAAAAGCUUAAAUGAUUUUAAAAGACGAGAAGACCCUAUAGAGUUUAAUAUUUAAAAUUUUAUAUAGAAAAUUAAAGGAUUGUUUUUUUUAUAAAAUUUUAAAUAUUUAAUUGGGGCGAUUAAAAAAUUUAAAUAACUUUUUUUAAAUUUGAACAUUGAUAUAUGAAUAAUUGAUCCAUAUUUUAUGAUUAUAAGAUU
rnacentral:rRNA from 1 species